rnacentral:lncRNA from 1 species
ACUUAUAUAAAUAUAACAAUAAGAAAUACAAUUACAUUCUAAUAUUACAAUAGGGGUGCUUCAAUGAGGCAUAAUGACCUCUUGAUUUUUAUUUCUUUUUGUGGCCCUAGCUGUGUGAAGAUUCUGAUUUUACCUGGAUGAUAGCGUCGACGUGGGGCGGUGCGGAUGGGAACCGCCAUUUUGUUUAUUUGUUCAGUUCUGCAGUUAUUCUAAUUUGUGUUGCUAAUAGUUGGAUUGCUGUUUUAGUUUAUUUUAUUUAUAAAAUAAUAUGUUUAUUAAUCUUGAAUAUUGGAAUUAGUUGUGUUAAGAAAAUGUUACGUUAUUGGUUUUUGUAUUGUAACUAUAUGCAAAUAAGGUUGCGAUUAAGAAGGAAUCCAGAAGAGGGUGUUGCUGUCUCGCUUCCUAAACGCUACGGAGAAACAGUGGUUGUUGGUCGAUGGUCGUCUUGGGUGAUUCGACGACUGAUUUUAGUGCUGGACGACAGUCUUUAUGUAUUUGGAGUUCGUGUUGCCGAAUGAGGCUGGUCCGUUGUCUUUUAAUUAAUGAAAAAAAAAGAAAAAUUAUUGUUCAACAUAUUCUCCGUGAAUCGAAGCGAGAUUCUGUAUUUUUGUAAGUCAACUUUUUGUAUUCCUUUUGUUUAUAAUAAUAAAAGAAGUUAUGGAGCAAUGUGUCGAUACCAUUAUGCGGUGGCUAGAUGCUAACGAACUCACUAUACUUAUCAAAAUAAGUGCUAACCAAAAAACACAGGGUCGAACCGACGGUGAAAACUUGGGAGGUAUCCCAGUUUUUACAGCUGUGCUUUUUAUCUCCUUAAUAGGUGUCUCCAGGGUUUCUGGACGGAGUCUGUCUGCUUAUCGUUUGUAGUGGUGGCCUCCCUUCUGCCUUUGUGGAUCUGGAUUGUCUCUGCUAUAGGCAGCUCUUUGUCGCUCAGGCCUUGCUUGAUUGUUCUGGGGUUGUCCCGGUCAAUUGGUGGAUUCUUCUCGUAUGCUUGUUUUGUGAGGGCGGUUCUCAUGUUGGCUUUCUUAAUAUCCUCUUUAUGUUCUGAG